CGGGGCCCGCCAAGGGUUACCAAGUCCAGUCAAACUCUGAAUGCCACAGACAUUACCCCGGGAGUCAGACAGUGAGUGCUAAGAUCCAUUGUCAAGAGGGAAACAGCCCAGAUCAUCAGCUAAGGUCCCCAAGUGUGUGUUAAGUGGGAAAGGAUGUGGAGUUGCACAGACAACCAGGAUGUUGGCUUAGAAGCAGCCACCAUUUAAAGAGUGCGUAAUAGCUCACUGGUCGAGUGACUCUGCGCCGAAAAUGUAACGGGGCUAAACACACCACCGAAGCUAUGACUUGCACCUAGCGUGCAUGGGUAGGGGAGCGUUCUGUACGGAGUGAAGGUAGAUCGUGAGGACUGCUGGACUGUACAGAAGUGAGAAUGCCGGUAUGAGUAACGAAAAGAUCAGUGAGAAUCUGAUCCGCCGAAAGCCUAAGGGUUCCUGAGGAAGGUUCGUCCGCUCAGGGUAAGUCGGGACCUAAGGCGAGGCCGAAAGGCGUAGUCGAAGGACAACAGGUUGAAAUUCCUGUACCACCGUAAGCCGUUACGAGCAAUGGAGUGACGCAGCAGGGUAGGGACGCGGACUGAUGGAUGUCCGUCCAAGCAGUGAGGCUGAUGUGUAGGCAAAUCCGCACAUCGUGAAGGCUGGGCUGUGAUGGGGAGCGAAAAUUACAGUAGCGAAGGUCUUAAUCUCACACUGCCGAGAAAAGCUUCUAGCCAGGCGAAGGUGCCCGUACCGCAAACCGACACAGGUGGGCGAGAAGAGAAUUCUAAGGCGCGCGGAAGAACUCUCGUUAAGGAACUCGGCAAAAUGACCCCGUAACUUCGGGAGAAGGGGUGCCCCGGUAGUGUGAAUAGCACGAGGGGGCCGCAGUGAAAAGGCCCAAGCGACUGUUUAGCAAAAACACAGGUCUAUGCGAAGCCGCAAGGCGAAGUAUAUGGGCUGACGCCUGCCCGGUGCUGGAAGGUUAAGGGGAGCGGUUAGGAGCAAUCCGAAGCUGUGAACCGAAGCCCCAGUAAACGGCGGCCGUAACUAUAACGGUCCUAAGGUAGCGAAAUUCCUUGUCAGGUAAAUUCUGACCCGCACGAAUGGCGUAACGACUUGGGCGCUGUCUCAACGAGAGAUCCGGUGAAAUUUUAAUACCUGUGAAGAUGCAGGUUACCCGCGACAAGACGGAAAGACCCCAUGGAGCUUUACUGCAGCUUGAUAUUGGACUUUGGUACGAUCUGUACAGGAUAGGUGGGAGCCUUUGAAGCCUGAGCGCCAGCUUGGGUGGAGGCGCCGUUGGGAUACCACCCUGAUCGUAUCGGAGUUCUAACCUACUACCGUGAUCCGGUAGAGGGACCGUGUCAGGUGGGCAGUUUGACUGGGGCGGUCGCCUCCUAAAGAGUAACGGAGGCGCCCCAAGGUUCCCUCAGAAUGGUUGGAAAUCAUUCGAAGAGUGCAAAGGCAUAAGGGAGCUUGACUGCGAGACAUACAGGUCGAGCAGGGACGAAAGUCGGGCUUAGUGAUCCGGUGGUACCGCAUGGAAGGGCCAUCGCUCAACGGAUAAAAGCUACCCUGGGGAUAACAGGCUUAUCUCCCCCAAGAGUCCACAUCGACGGGGAGGUUUGGCACCUCGAUGUCGGCUCAUCGCAUCCUGGGGCUGAAGUAGGUCCCAAGGGUUGGGCUGUUCGCCCAUUAAAGCGGUACGCGAGCUGGGUUCAGAACGUCGUGAGACAGUUCGGUCCCUAUCUGUCGCGGGCGCAGGAAAUUUGAGAGGAGCUGUCCUUAGUACGAGAGGACCGGGAUGGACGUACCGCUGGUGUACCAGUUGUCUCGCCAGAGGCAUCGCUGGGUAGCUAUGUACGGAAGGGAUAAGCGCUGAAAGCAUCUAAGCGUGAAGCCCCCCUCAAGAUGAGAUUUCCCAAUUAGUAAGACCCCUUGAAGACGACGAGGUAGAUAGGUUGGAGGUGGAAGCACAGCAAUGUGUGGAGCUGACCAAUACUAAUCGGUCGAGGGCUUGACCUA
rnacentral:rRNA from 1 species